rfam:Oikopleura dioica, whole genome shotgun assembly, reference scaffold set, scaffold scaffold_31
GCGUUGGUGGUGUAAUGGUCAGCAUUGAUGCCUUCCAAGCAUUAGAUCCGGGUUCGAUUCCCGGCCAUCGCA